GAUGAAGAACGUAGCGAAAUGCGAUAAGUAAUGUGAAUUGCAGAAUUCAGUGAAUCAUCGAAUCUUUGAACGCACAUUGCGCCCGUUAGCAUUCUAGCGGGCAUGCCUGUCCGAGCGUCAUUUCAACCCUCAGGGUCCCCGUUCCGGCGGGGAACCUGGUGUUGGGGAUCGGCCCGCCCCGUGCGGCGCCGUCCCCCAAAUUCAGUGGCGGUCUCGCUGCAGCCUCCCCUGCGUAGUAGUUACAACCUCGCAUCGGAGCUCAGCGCGGCCACGCCGUAAAACCCCCGACUUCUGAACGUUUGACCUCGGAUCAGGUAGGAAUACCCGCUGAACUUAAGCAUAUCAAUAAGCGGAGGA
rnacentral:misc_RNA from 1 species